UGAAGAUGUAAAACCCUUAGCUCCCUCUGCACCAGGCCUGCCUGGAUGCUGCCAUGUUCCUGCCUUGAUGAUGAUGGACUGAGCCUCUGAAGCUAUAUUUAGCCUAAGAGUCCGUUUCCCUACCUGCAAAAUCAGGCCAACGGCAGCUCCCACCUCUGAAGACCAUGCAUGUGAAUCCCCUGAGCUGAGGACGUAGACACUGGACAGAUUCAGAUGGAAUAAAGCCAAAUCAGCUCGUCUGUCACUGAGAAGGAAAGGAAGAGAAGACACACGCAUCAGCACAGGGCUGGCCUAAGAGAACUCCAUCUCUCCUUCCAACCGGCCAAGUCUACGAUUCCUUUAGAACCCCCUUCAUCUCUGUACUAACCUUUCAGAGAAAUAAAAGCCGUG
ensembl:lncRNA